UGGCAACAGCUGUCUUUCGGUAACGAACGUCUUUGCUUGGCGGAAAAAUAGUUUAUGAUUGUUAUUCAUAUUAAAAUAAAAUAUGCAGUAAAAGUAGUAUAUUUUAUCAUAUGUGUUGUGUCGCUGUAUAAACGCGUCGUGCUUAACAUCAUCACGGGUAAAAUCAGUAACGUUAACUCGGGACCUGGCUGACUUGAUGUUAUUCCUGAAGACUGAGCAGAGAGAGAGGCGCUGAGGCAAACGACACAUUUAACUUAUAACCUGUCGCAAUGCUGAGGGAGAGAGAUAGGAGUGAACAACGAUUGCAACAAACUUCACAACACAGAGAUGUCUCAGAUGACAAGGUCCUUUGGUUUGAGGCUCCUUUAAGCACUGCUCCAUCAGCUUGGUGAAGAGGGGGAGGUUGGGACAGCAUCUGAAACACCGAACACAAGACAGAUCAGCGCUGGACUUCAAGCUUCGACAGCUCCCUGAGGAUUUUACACGCACUGAGAGCGCUCAGCACAGACUCUCCCGUCUGAGAGAGGAACAAGAAACACUGAAUUCCUGUGGGCCACACAGAGCGAGUGCUUGGUGACCUCUGUCUUCUCAACCUCAGGCUGUAGAAAUGCCUUAAUGCAUCGACCCCAAAGGUGGUGGUUCAACCUCUUAAGUUCAGUUUUUGGAAUAGAAAAUAUAGUUUAUAAAGUAUGCACCAAUUUUUUGGGGCUGGAAUAAAAUCUCAGUCUAUAAGCGU